rnacentral:sRNA from 1 species
UGAAUGUCAAAAUAUAAAUAAAAAUGUU